AAACUGAAAAAAAAAUAUGUUAAAUCCGUUAGCAAUUUUUUUUUUAAUAUCUAACUUUAAUCCCAAUAUUACAGUGGAGAAUAUUAUUCAACUUAUGAAAUUAGUUAUUACAUUAUUUUAUCACACCUAAAAUAUAAUCAUGUUUGGAUAAUUUCGACUCAUUUUAAAAACUUUUUACUCUUGUGUUAAAGCAUAUAAGAUGUACAACGAACAUGAUAAUGAAAAUACGAAGUACAUAAGAGUUUAACUAAACGAAAUGAUAUAAUAAAAUUAGGAGAUUUAUUAUUUCCAUCUCUUUUAUAUAGUACAAAAUGAUCAUAAUUGACACGGUUGAACUUUGUUUUGGACAUGUACAAUGAAGUUUAUUCUCUUCAUCAUUUCCUCUUUCUUGGAGGUUGUUAGUGCUUCAGAAGAUGAUGAUGGAGCUGCAACGCUUGUAGUCUUACUUUGCAUAUUGCAAAUGAAAAGGUGAGUACAAUUGCAUUAACCACCAGAUAUAUCUAUUAACCUUUGUAGUUUAUCCCUAGGUGGCGUGAUUUCACCGGCGAUCAGUUCUCUCCCUGAACUAGUUGAGAUUAACCUCCAAAACAACUUUCUCACAGGCGAAAUACCGAGGCUUCCAAAACACGUAAAGGUCAUUUACAAACCCGGAAAAAGGUUCCUCAUACACAAGUCAAGAGAUAACAAGUGACUAUAGGCAUACUCAUUGCAAUCACAAUUGGAGGAGCACUUGUCUUGAUCAACAUGGGAAUCAUGGUUUACGUUUAUCAGCUCAAGAAAUCUACAAUGGUUGCAAUAAAAUAUAUAAAAAAAUAAACAGUUUUCUUCUAAUAAAAAUAUCUAAAUGUCAAAUAUGGGUUUACAAGUUACAAUCAUGAAACUCUUUGGUAAGGAAGAUAAUCAAAAUAUGGAUUUGUACAAUUCAAACAUGGGCUUCUAAUAUGAUAUAAUCUAUAUAAU
rnacentral:sRNA from 1 species